GGAAUAUUGGACAAUGGGGGCAACCCUGAUCCAGCAAUACCGCGUGAGUGAAGAAGGCCUUCGGGUUGUAAAGCUCUUUUACCGGGGAAGAUAAUGACGGUACCCGGGGAAUAAGCUCCGGCUAACUUCGUGCCAGCAGCCGCGGUAAUACGAAGGGAGCUAGCGUUGUUCGGAAUUACUGGGCGUAAAGGGCGCGUAGGCGGCUAUGUAAGUCAGAUGUGAAAGCCCCGGGCUCAACCUGGGAACUGCAUUUGAUGCUGCAAGGCUAGAGAUCGAGAGAGGAAAGUGGAAUUACGAGUGUAGAAGUGAAAUUCGUAGAUAUUCGUAGGAACGCCAGUGGCGAAGGCGACUUUCUGGCUCGAUACUGACGCUAAAGCGCGAAAGCGUGGGGAGCAAACAGGAUUAGAUACCCUGGUAGUCCACGCUGUAAACGAUGAGUGCUAGAUGUUAGGAGGGUAACCUUUUAGUGUCGCAGCUAACGCAAUAAGCACUCCGCCUGGGGAGUACGGUCGCAAGAUUAAAACUCAAAGGAAUUGACGG
rnacentral:rRNA from 1 species